UACGUAGGGUGCAAGCGUUGUCCGGAAUUAUUGGGCGUAAAGAGCUCGUAGGCGGUCUGUCACGUCGGCUGUGAAACCCGGGGCUCAACCCCGGGCCUGCAGUCGAUACGGGCAGACUAGAGUGCGGUAGGGGAGACUGGAAUUCCUGGUGUAGCGGUGAAAUGCGCAGAUAUCAGGAGGAACACCGGUGGCGAAGGCGGUCUCUGGGCCUA
rnacentral:rRNA from 1 species